CCUGGUUACAAGGGGAGUCCUCUAGGAGGCCUCCAUCCUGGAGGACUUUACAAGCUGAGCCCAGACAAGUGACAGAUGACAUCUGACCAGUCCUGAGUGGUGCCAGGGGCUUGUUCUGAAGCUGGAAGCAGAACUAUGUGUAAGAAGCAGAUUUCUGUUGCUAAGAAGAAGGCAUUCAGUGAUGGCAUCUGUGAUCACGUGACUUCAGCACCGGCCGGGACGAUGGGAGGGAUGCGUGUUGGGAAGAGCCAUUUCGAGGAUAUGGCUGAGGUGGCGCAGCUGGUAAAGAAUCGGCCUGCCAGUGCGGGAGACACAGAAG